UGUAGCUCAGUAGUAGAGCACUUGCCUACCAUGCACAAGGCUCUGGGUUCAAUUCCUAGCA
rnacentral:tRNA from 1 species